rnacentral:rRNA from 1 species
UACGUAGGGUGCGAGCGUUAAUCGGAGUUACUGGGCGUAAAGGGCGCGUAGGCGGUGAGAUGAGUGUGAUGUGAAAGCCCCGGGCUUAACCUGGGAAGCGCAUCGCAAACGAUCUGACUGGAGUAGAGAAGAGGGUGGCGGAAUUUCCGGUGUAGCGGUGAAAUGCGUAGAGAUCGGAAGGAACGUCAAUGGCGAAGGCAGCCACCUGGUCUCAUACUGACGCUGAGGCGCGAAAGCGUGGGGAGCGAACAGG